rnacentral:rRNA from 1 species
UACGUAGGGGGCAAGCGUUGUCCGGAAUCAUUGGGCGUAAAGCGCGUGUAGGCGGCCCGUUAAGUCCGCUGUGAAAGUCCAGGGCUCAACCCUGGGAUGCCGGUGGAUACUGUCGGGCUCGAGUCCGGAAGAGGAGUGUGGAAUUCCCGGUGUAGUGGUGAAAUGCGUAGAUAUCGGGAGGAACACCAGUAGCGAAGGCGACUCCCUGGCCUGUUCUUGACGCUGAGGCGCGAAAGCUAGGGGAGCAAACGGG